rnacentral:lncRNA from 10 species
UUUGUUAAAGGCCAUACAAAUGGUCCGGAAUAUUUUAAGUUGCUAAUCAUGAAGAAAAACGUGUAUACCAACACACGCACAAUAGAUAACACUUGUCCUGUUAUUUAAGAUGAAGGAUCUCACCAAGCAAAGCAGAUCAAGGACACAGAAUGUACACUGUAUGCAAAACCAGAAGCUAACAAGCAUGUGGGGGUAUUUAGUAUUUGCACAAAUCAUCAUUACCAGUCACGACUGUGGUCAGAUGCUGACUCCCAAGUAAGUCGAAGAGGGAGGCAAACAGAAGGAAAAGAGAAAUCUUCCUGAGAUAUCUGGGUAAGACAUGAAGAGGACAGAGAAUUGAGGUUAAGGAUUUGCGUAUAUGUACCUAAUAAGAUACAAGUGAUUUCAUUCACCAGAAAUCUGGGGCGGGGCGGGGAAUAUGUAUCUAUAUAUGGUAGACUUUUCUGGGAAUGAGACGUGAGACCUCCCCCUUAAGAACAUGGUCAGGUACAACAGGUCACU